GGAAAGGGAGAGGUGAAAGUCAAUGUAACUAGUGGAACAGAAAAGAAAGCAAGAGUUCUUAUGAGGUCUAGAGGAAAUUACAGACUGAUUUUAAACGCCCGGCUUUACCCUGAAAUGAAACUCACAAAUAUGGAGAAGAAAGGGGUUACCUUUGCGCCAGCAGACUAAUCCUGCUCCUUCUUCACACCCUUUUGCUGCAAUCCGGUUGGCUGCCCCUGCUGAAUCCAACGCCAAGCCUGGUGAAGCUGCUACCGUAACACAACCAGAGAAAGCUAAAGAUGAAGAAACUAAGCAGCCAGAGGGCGAAACUCGUGAGGUGGAGGACAAAUCUACUUCAAAUAACGAUGCUGCAGAAAAAAGCAAUGAAAAGAAGGAGCUUGCCGAGAAGGAGAGUGAUGGUGACAACAAGUCGAAGGUAGAUAAUGAACAGAGUAAGGACGGAAAUAAGAUUGAAAAUGAGGAUAAGAAGAAUGCUGCUGAUAAGGAGAGUGUGAGUGUGAAUGAUAUAGAACAAUCUACGGAAGAAAAAAAUACCGAGAACAAUGAUAAGAACGAAAAUAGUGAAAGCAAGGAUAAGGAAGAUAACAAAGUAAGUAACGAGCCUACUGCUGAAGGUGGCGCUUUAAAAUCAUUUCAACAGCUUUCGAGUAGUCAAAAUGCCUUCACAGGUCUUGCUGGAACCGGAUUUUCUUCUUCUCUGUUUUCUUUCGGACCUAUAUCAAGUGACGGGUCUGCUUUGGGUAGUGGGUCCGGUUCUAUAUUUGGAAUGAAAACUGACAGGCCUUUGGGUCUGGGUUUAUCUAACACUGGAAGUUCUGUUACUAAGAGCGAUGGAAGUGGCGUCUCAACACUGCAGGAAGUUGUCGUUGAAACUGGCGAAGAAAAUGAGGAAGUAGUUUUCAAUGCAGAUUCAGUGUUGUUUGAAUUUGCAGACGGUGGUUGGAAGGAACGUGGAAAGGGAGAGGUGAAAGUCAAUGUAACUAGUGGAACAGAAAAGAAAGCAAGAGUUCUUAUGAGGUCUAGAGGAAAUUACAGACUGAUUUUAAACGCCCGGCUUUACCCUGAAAUGAAACUCACAAAUAUGGAGAAGAAAGGGGUUACCUUUGCUUGUGCAACUGAAGGGAAAGACUGUCUUUCGACAUUUGCAUUGAAGUUCAAAGAUGGGUCCAUAGUGGAUGAUUUUAAGACUGCUAUCACAGCACAUAAGGGUGAGGCGGCGUAUCCAGUUAUCAAGACCCCAGAAAAUUCUCC
rnacentral:lncRNA from 1 species